rnacentral:rRNA from 1 species
UACGUAGGGUGCAAGCGUUGUCCGGAAUUAUUGGGCGUAAGGAGCUCGUAGGCGGUCUGUCACGUCGGCUGUGAAAACCCGAGGCUCAACCUCGGGCCUGCAGUCGAUACGGGCAAACUAGAGUGUUGCAGGGGAGACUGGAAUUCCUGGUGUAGCGGUGAAAUGCGCAGAUAUCAGGAGGAACACCGGUGGCGAAGGCGGGUCUCUGGGCAACAACUGACGCUGAGGAGCGAAAGCGUGGGGAGCGAACAGG